UACAGAGGGGGCAAGCGUUGUUCGGAAUUACUGGGCGUAAAGGGCGCGUAGGCGGCCUGUUAAGUCGGACGUGAAAUCCCCGGGCUCAACCCGGGAACUGCGUCCGAUACUGGCAGGCUUGAAUCCGGGAGAGGGAUGCGGAAUUCCAGGUGUAGCGGUGAAAUGCGUAGAUAUCUGGAGGAACACCGGUGGCGAAGGCGGCAUCCUGGACCGGCAUUGACGCUGGGGCGCGAAAGCCAGGGGAGCAAACGGG
rnacentral:rRNA from 1 species